UCUGUCAAAUAAAUAAAUAAAAUUUAAAAAAAAAAAAAAAAAAAAAAAAAAAAACAAGGCCCCUGCGUCCUGUUUGAUCUGCACCCGCUACUCUCCCCUCCCAUUUCUGAGUUUGUUCCCCGGAGAUUAGAAACACACUGUUGACUCCUGUCUCCUGUGCUCUGAAUUUGAAACAAACCCAGGAUCGGGUCUAACGUCAAAUUAGUGGGUAGCAGGCAAGUACCUAUCACAGGAGAUCACGGUCCCUUACCACACCCACGGCUCAUCUCUUUAAAAACAGAAAUAUUCUGACUAAGGCUAGGAGCGUCGGGCUUACCUGGGUUUCCUGCUCUGACUGCAGAGGUUUCCGGCGAGUUCUGAAGCGCUGGAAACCUUUCUGCUCUGAGAUUUCCGAAGAACCGUUUCAGCAAAACUUCAAGUCCCUGAAAGGAGAGUGAAUUCCGUGGGUACAGAGGAGUCAUGUUCAGUUCGAGUGAAAUUCAUUCAGCCUUUGUCCCGCAAAUGUUUCCUGCAGGCCUGUGUCGUGUCAGGCACGGCGGGCUCCCAAAGGGCCAGGAUUCCGUGGGGGACUCAGACCCACGUGGCCGAUGGGCACCUCGGGCCUGUGUGCUGCGUGUGGGCAUCUCCGCUCUGCACAACAUGGUGGUGUGACUGUGAACCCGCCAGUGUGGACUUCUAGGAAGGAGAACGAAGUACAACAGUCAUCUCAAGAAGAAGAAUCCACAUUCACAGUCCAGAAAGCAACAGGACAAAGUUACCGUCCGGAAAGUCAUCCACACAGACCAAUGAGGCGAACCUGUGCUCCCUGGCGUUGCCGGACUCCGGGCAGCACCCGACCUGGACCCAUCAGGUUUCCUUCUGGCUCGCGGUAUGAUCCGGUGUACUCGUGUUGUGCUCUAAUAUAGCAAUUUAAAACGAGGGAUUAAGAAAGAGGGAGGUGCCUGGGUGGCUCAGUGGGUUAAAGCCUCUGCCUUCGGCUCGGGUCAUGAUCCCAGGGUCCUGGGAUCAAGCCCCGCAUCGGGCUCUCUGCUCAGCGGGGAGCCUGCUU